ACAGAGAGUACGUAACGCACUGCGAGUACUCCAGGCUCUCUCUUCAGGCCUUUGCUUUUGCUCGACGAGGCAGAACUGAACGAAACGUUGCUCUCCCUCUCUCUCUCAAAGUACUCUCUUUUCUUUCCUUUUUCCUACCACUUCUUUAUGGGCUCGUUCUCCAAGAAAUGCAUGCACCUACUCCUCUGUGUUUGGGCGUGAGAGAAGAGAGAGAGAGAGAGAGAGAGAGAGAGGCAGAGAGGGGCUAACUACCAAUUUACUACCGAAGACAAGUCCUAACGCCAACCAAAAAGAAAAAGUAGAGUUCACCUUCAAUCAUGUUCCUUGUCCCCACAUGUGAA